UCUUCCCUUAAUGUAGAUUUAUGACCCUAAAUAUUUACAUGUUGUAUGGAGAAUUUCAAAUGGAAAAGCUAUAAGAGAUUGGAGGAAAUCAAUCAUGGGAAUAUAUUUGAGAUUGAAUUUUGUUGGAAGAAUUAUAUCCAUCUACCAAGAUGUAAGGAUCACCUAACAAUGGCCUAAUUGGGAAUGGGUGACGGAGGGACCGUUUUGAUUUGUUCACAUCAAAUCCUUUCCUAGAGGUUUUGAUAUGCUCACUUUGAACCCUCUCCUAAACGAAGACAACCAACGAACAUUGUCUACAAAGUCCACUUUCCAAUCGGAACUAUUGAUCUUAUCCAAACUGAUAUAUAUAACCGUGUUACAAAUUAAAUCCAAUGAAUAUAUAGGAUGGGGCUUAAACCCUAUACCUUCCAUGGAGAUGAUGGAGUUUCUUAACAGGGUUUAGUUACAGAUUUCCUGGCGGGAAUUGUGUCUAUCUCAAAGAACUGCGCAAAGCCGAAAUGAAAAUA